rnacentral:rRNA from 1 species
AGGACUAACGCUGGCGGCGUGCCUAACACAUGCAAGUCGAACGAAGUAGCAAUACUUAGUGGCAGACGGGUGAGUAACACGUAGUCAACCUGCCCUUCAAUGGGGGAUAACUAGCCGAAAGGUUAGCUAAUACCGCAUACGAUCUCUGAGUGGCAUCACUCGGCGAUGAAAGGAGUAAUCCGUUGAAGGAGGGGACUGCGUCCCAUUAGUUAGUUGGUGGGGUAAUGGCCUACCAAGACUCCGAUGGGUAGCUGGCUUGAGAGAGCGACCAGCCACACUGGAACUGAGACACGGUCCAGACUCCUACGGGAGGCAGCAGUGAGGAAUUUUCCGCAAUGGGGGAAACCCUGACGGAGCGACGCCGCGUGUGGGAAGAGGCCUUGGGUCGUAAACCACUGUCGAGGGGGACGAGUAUUGACGGUACCCCUGGAGGAAGCCCCGGCUAACUACGUGCCAGCAGCCGC